rnacentral:rRNA from 1 species
UACGAAGGGGGCGAGCGUUGUUCGGAUUUACUGGGCGUAAAGGGCGCGCAGGCGGCUUUGUUUGUCAGGCGCGAAAGCCCCGGGCUUAACCUGGGAACUGCGUUUGAUACGGCAGGGCUAGAGUUCGGGAGAGGAGCGUGGAAUUCCCAGUGUAGAGGUGAAAUUCGUAGAUAUUGGGAAGAACACCGGUGGCGAAGGCGGCGCUCUGGACCGAGACUGACGCUGAGGCGCGAAAGCGUGGGGAGCGAACAGG